rnacentral:rRNA from 1 species
UAACAGGAUUAGAUACCCUGGUAGUCCACGCCGUAAACGAUGAGUGCUAAGUGUUGGAGGGUUUCCGCCCUUCAGUGCUGCAGCUAACGCAUUAAGCACUCCACCUGGGGAGUACGGCCGCAAGGCUGAAACUCAAAGGGAUUGACGGGGACCCGCACAAGCGGUGGAGCAUGUGGUUUAAUUCGAAGCAACGCGAAGAACCUUACCAGGUCUUGACAUCCUUUGACCACUCUAGAGAUAGAGCUUUCCCUUCGGGGACAAAGUGACAGGUGGUGCAUGGUUGUCGUCAGCUCGUGUCGUGAGAUGUUGGGUUAAGUCCCGCAACGAGCGCAACCCUUAUUACUAGUUGCCAGCAUUUAGUUGGGCACUCUAGUGAGACUGCCGGUGACAAACCGGAGGAAGGUGGGGAUGACGUCAAAUCAUCAUGCCCCUUAUGACCUGGGCUACACACGUGCUACAAUGGAUGGUACAACGAGUCGCAAGGUCGCGAGGCCAAGCUAAUCUCUUAAAGCCAUUCUCAGUUCGGAUUGUAGGCUGCAACUCGCCUACAUGAAGCCGGAAUCGCUAGUAAUCGCGGAUCAGAACGCCGCGGUGAAUACGUUCCCGGGUCUUGUACACACCGCCCGUCACACCACGAGAGUUUGUAACACCCGAAGCCGGUGAGGUAACCUUUUAGGAGCCAGCCGUCUAAGGUGGGAUAGAUAAUUGGGGUGAAGUCGUAACAAGGUAACCA